rnacentral:rRNA from 1 species
CAACUUUCAACGGAGGAUGUCUUGGUUCCUACAACGAUGAAGAACGCAGCGAAAUGCGAUACGUAAUGCGAAUUGCACGAUCUCGUGAAUCAUCAAAAUUUUGAACGCACAUUGCGCUGCCGGGACAUGCCUGGUAGCAUGCAUGGUUGAGUGUUCGUG